CCUACGGGAGGCUGCAGUGGGGAAUAUUGGACAAUGGGGGCUAGCCUGAACCAGCGAAGUAGCGUGAGUGAUGACUGACCUAGGGGUGGUAAACUUCUUUAGUAGGGGAAUAAAGUGCAGUAUGUAUACUGCUUUGCAUGUACCUUAUGAAUAAGGAUCGGCUAACUCCUUGCCAGCAGCCGCGGUAAUACGGAGGAUCCGCGCGUUAUCCGGAUUUAGUGGGUGUAAGGGGAGCGUAGGCGGGUUGUUAAGUCAGUUGUGAAAGUUUGCGGCUCAACCGUGAAAUUGCAGUUGAUACUGGCAUCCUUGAGUACAGUAGAGGUAGGCGGAAUUCGUGGUGUAGCGGUGAAAUGCUUAGAUAUCACGAAGAACUCCGAUGGCGAAGGCAGCCUGCUGGACUGUAACUGACGCUGAUGCUCGAAAGUGUGGGUAUCAAACAGGAUUAGAUACCCUUGUAGUC
rnacentral:rRNA from 1 species